rnacentral:sRNA from 1 species
UUAAGUGGAACAAAGGCUAAGCUCGCCACGUCCUGUGGCAACGCCUUUGUGACCCGCGUCCUGCGGG